ensembl:lincRNA
GCGGCCGCCGAGCACAUGGACCCACUGGUCAAGCGGGCUCGGCAAGGCCAGGAUGAAGAGAAGCUACGAACUUAGCAUUCCCAGAGCCCCCCGAGUGGAUAUCCGCGUGGAAAGGAUGUUGGCAGCCCCGGUGACCUCGGAGUCACGGCUGGAUCCACCCUCUUUAUACCCUUUAAGCGUUCCAGAAGGAUUUUGAGAUCCUUUCCUAAAUCAAAGGUGGAAUAUUUGGGGAUUUGGAAAAUUGAGAUGAGAAGCGUUGACUUAAGAGAUGCCAAGUAGCUCAGCAGAUGUCACACAGACGAUAAAUAGCAAAGAUGGAAGUCUUCAUGCCGGAGGCAAUCCUAUAAGACAGUUGAGUUCUGCAGAGCUGGAGACAGACUUGCUCAGGUGAUAGAUCCAGCCAUGAUACUGACCCUAAGAGAAUGAGACGCUCUGCAGAAGACAGAAGAUUCCUGAAACUGGGAAAGGUGCCUAGAAAUCCUGAGAAGAGUGAAGAAGGCUCGGCUCUCCAGUGUGGUUUUCCAACAGGAGUCAAAUAUUAAAGGACAUGAGCGUGUUGGGGAAAAAGAUGGAUAGUGCUAAACAGCCUGAGUUCAUCCUCACUAUCCUCUUCAUAAGGAGAGCAAGAACAACCCCGGAAAUGGCUCAUGCUUAAGGUUUCUAACCACGGUCACACCUACAACACACUGAUUGACAAUAUAGGUUACAGUACACA